rfam:Schistosoma rodhaini strain Burundi genome assembly, scaffold: SROB_scaffold0000133
AUUCAGCUGGCGAGUCCCAUAUAGGACGAAAUGCGCUUCAAACUGGAU